ensembl:lncRNA
ACCAUUGGCAGUGAUGACAUCACUACUGGCAGUGAUGACAAUAAUAACCAAAGCACCACUGUUUGCGUACCCACCAUGAACCAGGCACUUGCUCUGAUCGUCUGCAUCCUUGUUACUAAAAUCACCUGGAAGCUAAUUACAAAUAAAGGCACUCAGGCCCUACCCCAGCCUUGCUGAGUCAGAAUCUCCAUUUUUCACAAGGUCCUCAGGUGAUUCACAGGCACUGCCUCACACCUUGUCUUAUUCAAUCCUUAGUGCCAUAUUCCCAAGAAAUUAUGUUUUUUCUGUUCAGAUUUUACAGAUGAGGGAACUGAAGCCCAGGGGGGUGAAUUUCAUUGUCCAGGGACAAGAGGAGGAAAGAGUUGGAAUCUGACCCUGUGGACAAUGUGACUUCAAACCUAAGAAAGAGGCGAAGGGAAGUUUAUGAGCCGUUCUCUGAUUUGGGGCUUUUGAUUCUUGUCUUUUAACCAGGCUGCCCCUCAGAAGGACACAGGAGGCUCCCUGCAAGCAGGAGGAGUUACUCGAGGCUUGCUCUGGACCUCAGCCUUGCCCCUUUCUCCUGCACCCCAAGUGGGGCUUCCCUGAACUUGGGCACAGCAGCCCCUUGAGGGAGGCGCUUGGGAGGGCAGUGCUCAGAGGGAAACAAGGAUGCUCUCUCACCUGCUGCUCCAGCUUGGUCCUCCUGACACUCAUAGGCAGCCAAAGACAUUCUCUCCCCUGCCCAGGAAUGUGGCACCCACUCCCUCCUUCAGGAACCCCACGAAGCCACGCGGCCUAUGCCAGCAGCAUCUUGGCCCGUGGGGCUGUGGCCCACGCCGUGUCUCAUUCCAAACUCCUCAAUCUCUCCCAUUAGCUGAGAUUGCAGGUUCAGAGCACAAACAUCGCCACCUGUCACUGCAGCCGCAACUCCUCCGCCAGCCGGGAAUGGUCUCGUCUCCUUCAAUCCAUCACGGAGGGUUUCUAUCGCUCUCCCUCUGUGAGCCCUUCCCCCAGCGCCUGGCCCAGGGGAGUUGCUUCGCUGCCAGGUGGGAGGAGAGAGGCGGCAGGAAGCCCAGGGCAGGGACCUCUCAGGCCUUGAGCCUGGUAGUACCUGGAGAACCCAGCCCCGACCAGAGAGCACACCUGCUUCAGACCCAGAGGAAGCAAAUGAGGUGGUGGGAACAGAGGGGUUAGUUGCUCAGUUGUGUCCGACUCUGCAACCCCAUGGACUGUAGCCAGCCAGGCUCCUCUGUCCAUGGGGAUUCUCCAGGCCAGAAUACUGGAGUGGGUUGCUAUGCCUUCCUUCCGGGGAUCUUCCUGAUCCAGGGAUUGAACCUGAGUCUCCUGCAUUGCGGGCAGACUCUUUACCAUCUGAGCCAGCGAAGCCCCCAGCAGGAGCAGAGGGCUUCCCUAACACUCCCCAGGCGUGGGAUGUACACUUGCUGCCCUUGGAGAUGAAGUCACUGUAAUCUGGGGGCCUCAUCCCUGGGCUUUCUGACUCCGGGUAUCUGGGGCAGAGCCUGAGAACCUGCAUUUUUUAACAGAGCUGCUCCAUGUGAUUCUGAGGCCAUAGGUCCCUGGAUCCCAACGUUGAGCAACUUGGUUGAUGGAGCCUCUUAUCAGUAGGUUAGGCCGGAUGGUGCUGUUGUAACAAACAACCCCCACACCCUCAGGGGCUUAAUACUAUAACGAUUCAUUUCUUGCAUCUCCAUGCCCAAAGCUAGCUGGCUGGAGGUUUCUUUCACUGAGGUUAUUCAGAAACCCAUCUGAGGAAACUCGUCUAGACCAGAUUUCUGUGAUUGCGGUGAGGAGCACAGCUGGGGGGUCCAGCGGACAAGUGCUCAAGCCUGAAAGUGACACAGAGCACUCCUGCCCACAACCCACUGGCCAGAACUAAUGCUAGCUAGCACCCUGCCCAGCUUUGAGAGGAUGGGGAGAAGUAACCACCCCCCGCCACGUGUGCCAGGGGAGAGAGAGAGGAGUGGGAUACGGGGGAACCAUCUGGGCAUUCCCCCUGGACGGCACUGAGGCUGAAAGCCCAGCCCCCGCCUCUGACGCCUGACCCACUGGCUGCAGCCCAGAAGACACGAAGGAAAGCACGAGGACGGCAACGAGGAAUCAAAUGAAAGAGAUGAAAAUGCUUCAAAACCCACAAAGCCCUGUGAAGACAACGUGGGCUCCAGGUACGCGGCCUCAGUUGCUCUGCAGCAUGUGGAACUUUCCCAGACCAGGGAUCGAACCCAUGUCCUCUGCAUUGGCAGGUGGAUUCUUAACCACUGGACCAUCAGGGAAGUCCCCAUUCCAAGCCUUUUAUAUGCACUGAUUCAUUUAAUUUUCAUACAACCCCAUAGGGUAAAUACUAUUAUUUCCUCCAUUUUCCAAGUGAGGAAACGGAGGUGCGGAGUGUUGAAAUGACUUGCCCAAAGUCACAGUUAUAGAGCCAGGACUUGACCUGACCCUGCAUGCACCACAACACUGUUGCCCCACGUGUACCCCAAGUUUCACCAUGUGCCCCUCCUCAUCAGCCAGGUGAUGGUCACAUCUGGACCCCAGAAGUUGGUGCCCAGAGGCUAAGGUCCCGAGCCUGGGGACAUAGCUAACUUGGUGCCUAAGGAGCCCCAGGAAAGCAUCAGGCACAGACAACAAUGGAGCAGGGUCCUUCUUUCCAGGGUAUAGGUGGUUGUGAGCCCGGUGGGAGACCCACCCCUGAGGGCAGCCUGGAACAGCUGCUCAGAUGCAAUAGGUAUUGUCCUGCUUAUUUGGAAAAUGGUGGAUAGAAUAAGAGAGAGUCAAAGUUUUUGACUGUAGUUUCUAAAAUCUCUUUCAUCUCCCAAGUCACAUGACUCUACAACAGAAGCUGGCAAAUAUAUCUGUGGUAUAUGCAUGUCUGACUCUCUGUGACCCCAUGGACUAUAGCCCAUCAGACUCCUCUGUCCAUGGGAUUUCCCAGGCAGGAAUACUGGUUGUGCUCAUGCUAAGUCACUUCAGUUGUGUCUGACUCUUUGCGACUCCAUGGACCAUAACCAGUCAGGCUCCUCUGUCUGUGGGAUGCUCCAGGCAAGCCUACUGGAGUGGUUGCCAUUUCCUUCUCCAGGGGAUCUUUCUGACCCAGGGAUCGAACCCAUGUCUCUUCCAUCUCCUGCACUGGCAGGCAGAUUCCUUACCCGUUCCGCCACCUGGGAAGCCCAUUUCUGUAAAGACCCAGAAAGUAAAUACUUGAGGCUUUGAAGACCAUACAGUCUGUGUCACAACCAACAAACUUUGCCAGUGAAGGGCGAAAGCAGCAGACAGUAUGUAAACAGCUGGGUGUGGC